GUUAUUUUAUUGAUCCGAUGGUUCAACCCAAUUCAACCCAACCCAUCUAUUGCAAUGGUUCGGAUAAGGUUCGGGUCCUAUUCUAAUCCAACGGACCCGUACGAUCCUUACCCGACCCGAACAGCUCCGGUUGACAAAGAAGCGGGUCGCAGUAAUCCCAUAGAUCGAUCGUCUGAUAUUGAUCGAACGGUGCGUAUUAAUGUUAUAAAAAAGAGCACAAAAAUAAUCAACAGUCGUCCCCUGCAACGGCCGCUAGGGUUCUGUCCCGCUUGCUAUAAAGCCGGCGACGACAUCUAUCCGACGGCGGAUUACCGCGCCUAUCGCUGCCGGACCCAUCCUCGAAGUGGUGGUGUGUUGGAUCCCUGGAGGAACACCGGAUGAACAAUUUCAGGUUGCACCGUGAGAAAAGAACAUUUUCUGUCUCCAUCAUCUGAUUAGGUUAAACUUAGCUUCGAUAGCUCCUACAUCAAUAAGGAUGAUUGUGUGGUGUGGAUCACCACAUAUUCAGACACCGAAUAUGUUCAAUAUGACCGGUCUUUGAGGCCGAAAAUAACUCUCGAUGAGUUUACAAGGCACGCAAAUGCAACAGCAAGAAGCUCAUUUUGGAAUCCGAAUUCGAAGCUCUUUUUGUGUUUUGAAGAUGAAACAAAUUCUGGUGGAGGAUUGCUGAUUUUCUGACUGAUAUGUAAUUUAUAUUUUGAACUUGUUGACGGUAGAUUGUUGUCGUGUCAACAUGAAUUGAACGAAAUUUCCUGGUUUGUCAUUUGUCACCUAUGUUUUCUUACUGAACUUUUUUUGACAGAUAUCAAUAUGGUUAUUGAUC